rnacentral:tRNA from 1 species
GACAGGAUGCCCGAGUGGUUAAGGGGCGGGCCUGCGUACGUAACCUUUGUACCGCCAACUCCAGUAAACAGUUUCACUAACGCCCCUCAUAGUAAGCCCGUGCAUUCGUGCGCCUGGGUUCGAAUCCCAGUUCUGUCG